UGGUGGGUUGCCUUGUCAGGUUGAUUCCGGUAACGAACGAGACCUCAGCCUGCUAAAUAGUCAACAUCGCAUCUGCGGUGUGCAGACUUCUUAGAGGGACUAUUGGCGUUUAGCCAAUGGAAGUAUGAGGCGAUAACA
rnacentral:rRNA from 1 species